CCUACAGGUGGCAGCAGUGGGGAAUAUUGCACAAUGGGGGAAACCCUGAUGCAGCGACGCCGCGUGAGUGAAGAAGUCCCUCGGUAUGUAAAGCUCUAUCUGCAGGGAAGAAAAUGACGGUACCUGAUUCAGAAGCCCCGGCUAACUACGGGCCAGCAGCCGCGGUCAUACGUAGGGGGCCAGCGUUAUCCGGAUUUACUGGGUGUAAAGGGAGCGUAGAUGGCAGAACAAGUCUAGAGUGAAAUGCCUGGGCUUAACCCCGGAACUGCUUUGGAAACUGGGCAGCUAGAGUGCAGGAGAGGAAAGUGGAAUGCGUGGUGUAGCGGUGAAAUGCGUAGAUAUUAGGAGGAACACCAGUGGCGAAGGCGGCUUACUGGACUGUAACUGACGUUGAGGCUCGAAAGCGUGGGGAGCAAACAGGAUUAGAUACCCUAGUAGUC
rnacentral:rRNA from 1 species